GGGCGUGCGGGUGCUAAUACAUGCAAGUCGAGCGAAUGGAUUAAGAGCUUGCUCUUAUGAAGUUAGCGGCGGACGGGUGAGUAACACGUGGGUAACCUGCCCAUAAGACUGGGAUAACUCCGGGAAACCGGGGCUAAUACCGGAUAACAUUUUGAACUGCAUGGUUCGAAAUUGAAAGGCGGCUUCGGCUGUCACUUAUGGAUGGACCCGCGUCGCAUUAGCUAGUUGGUGAGGUAACGGCUCACCAAGGCAACGAUGCGUAGCCGACCUGAGAGGGUGAUCGGCCACACUGGGACUGAGACACGGCCCAGACUCCUACGGGAGGCAGCAGUAGGGAAUCUUCCGCAAUGGACGAAAGUCUGACGGAGCAACGCCGCGUGAGUGAUGAAGGCUUUCGGGUCGUAAAACUCUGUUGUUAGGGAAGAACAAGUGCUAGUUGAAUAAGCUGGCACCUUGACGGUACCUAACCAGAAAGCCACGGCUAACUACGUGCCAGCAGCCGCGGUAAUACGUAGGUGGCAAGCGUUAUCCGGAAUUAUUGGGCGUAAAGCGCGCGCAGGUGGUUUCUUAAGUCUGAUGUGAAAGCCCACGGCUCAACCGUGGAGGGUCAUUGGAAACUGGGAGACUUGAGUGCAGAAGAGGAAAGUGGAAUUCCAUGUGUAGCGGUGAAAUGCGUAGAGAUAUGGAGGAACACCAGUGGCGAAGGCGACUUUCUGGUCUGUAACUGACACUGAGGCGCGAAAGCGUGGGGAGCAAACAGGAUUAGAUAC
rnacentral:rRNA from 1 species